rnacentral:ribozyme from 1 species
AGAUGCGCGCACGUAAAAAAAAAAAAAAAAAAAAAAAAAAA